rnacentral:tRNA from 1 species
AAUAAAGUGCCUGAUCAAAAGGAUUGUUUUGAUAGAACAAAUUAUGUAUAGUAUACCUUUAUUA